rfam:Parcubacteria (Falkowbacteria) bacterium GW2011_GWA2_41_14 TT43_C0001, whole genome shotgun sequence.
GCGGGCAUAAUAUAAUGGUUAUUAUAUCAGUUUUCCAAACUGAUAAUACGGGUUCGAUUCCCGUUACCCGCU